rnacentral:tRNA from 1 species
GGCGACGUAGCUCAGUUGGUAGAGCAGGGGACUCAUAAGCCCUUUGUCAUGUGUUCAAGUCACAUCGUCGCCACCA